CUCGGCCAAAAAAUUUUUUCGUCUGUUUAUCAAAAACAUUGCUUUUUUGAUACUUGGAAUAAAAAGUAUGGUCUGCCCAGUGAAAUUUUAACGGCCGCAAUAUUUGUGCGAAGGUAGCAUAAUCAUUUGUCUUUUAAUUGAUGACUGGAAUGAAUGGCUGGACGGAGAAAAGCUGUCUCUUUUAUAUUUUUUAAAAAUUUACUUUCAAGUUAAAAGGCUUGAAUAAUAUAGAGGGACGAGAAGACCCUAUUGAGUUUUAUAGCUAAACUUCAAAUUUUUCUUUAAUUUUAAAUAAUAGCUAUUUAGUUGGGGUGACUUUAUAAUAAAAUCUAUAUUAGAAUUAAUAGACAUUAAGUUAUUAGGAUCCAUACUUUAUGAUAAAUAGAUCAAAUUACCUUAGGGAUAACAGCGUAAUAUUUUUUUAGAGUCCAAAUCGAUUAAAAUGCUUACGACCUCGAUGUUGGAUUAAAGAACCUAAUUGGAGAAGAAGCUAAUUUAGGUAGUCUGUUCGACUAUUAAAUCUUUACAUGAUCUGAGUUCAGACCGGCGUAUGCCAGGUCAGUUUUUAUCUUCUAUAAUUCUUAAUAUUUUUUUUGUACGAAAGGACUAAAAAAUAAAAUUUAAUUUUCC
rnacentral:rRNA from 1 species